UACGAAGGGGGCUAGCGUUGCUCGGAAUCACUGGGCGUAAAGGGUGCGUAGGCGGGUCUUUAAGUCAGGGGUGAAAUCCUGGAGCUCAACUCCAGAACUGCCUUUGAUACUGAAGAUCUUGAGUUCGGGAGAGGUGAGUGGAACUGCGAGUGUGGAGGUGAAAUUCGUAGAUAUUCGCAAGAACACCAGUGGCGAAGGCGGCUCACUGGCCCGAUACUGACGCUGAUGCACGAAAGCGUGGGGAGCAAACAGG
rnacentral:rRNA from 1 species